rnacentral:rRNA from 1 species
AAAGCUAAUUACCCAAUCCUGACACAGGGAGGUAGUGACAAGAAAUAACAAUACAGGGCGAAUGUCUUGUAAUUGGAAUGAUGGUGACCCAAACCCUCACCAGAGUAGCAAUUGGAGGGCAAGUCUGGUGCCAGCAGCCGCGGUAAUUCCAGCUCCAAUAGCGUAUAUUAAACUUGUUGCAGUUAAAAAGCUCGUAGUUGUAUUUUUGCGUUAGCGGUUUGACCAUUUGGUUGGUUAUUUCGUUUUCGCUUUUGGGAAUUUCCCUUUUUACUUUGAGAAAAUUAGAGUGUUUCAAGCAGACUUUUGUCUUGAAUACUUCAGCAUGGAAUAAUAGAGUAGGACUUUGGUUCUAUUUUGUUGGUUAUUGAACCUUAGUAAUGGUUAAUAGGAACGGUUGGGGGCAUUCGUAUUUAAA